GCAAGCGUUGUUCGGAUUUACUGGGCGUAAAGGGCGCGUAGGCGGUCGUGACAAGUCACUUGUGAAAUCUCCGGGCUUAACUCGGAACGGUCAAGUGAUACUGUCGGACUAGAGUACAGAAGGGGCAACUGGAAUUCUCGGUGUAGCGGUGAAAUGCGUAGAUAUCGAGAGGAACACCAGUGGCGAAGGCGGAACUCUGGGCCGGAACUGACGCUGAGGAGCGAAAGCGUGGGGAGCGAACAGG
rnacentral:rRNA from 1 species